rnacentral:lncRNA from 1 species
AUGGAAUGUUCUCGGCCCAUCUCUCCACAGCCACCCCUGCCCUAUGACAUCGUCCUCCGGCUUCCUGACCAUGACUUUACUUCCUGUAGACAUCAGAUGCCAGGGCAAGAUGUCCCUGUGUGUCCUUUGUCCAAAGUAGACGUGAAUGGGGAAUUGGAUAAGUGUAUUUCUGAAGUAGCUACUACACUCUCAAGGGCUUCCAUUAGUGGAGCUGAUGCUGGCCUGGGCAAGUGCCCAGUGAAUGGUUGGGGAACAGUGGCCUGCCCUGUGAAUGCUGGAGAAGGUGCUGAAAAGCGAGUAAGCAACUGUCCCCUACCAGCUCCAGCCCUGAGACACUAG